CACUCCUGCGGGAGGCAGCAGUGGGGAAUAUUGCACAAUGGGCGCAAGCCUGAUGCAGCGACGCCGCGUGGGGGAUGAAGGCCUUCGGGUUGUAAACUCCUUUCGCUAGGGACGAAGCUUUUUUGUGACGGUACCUAGAUAAGAAGCACCGGCUAACUACGUGCCAGCAGCCGCGGUAAUACGUAGGGUGCGAGCGUUGUCCGGAAUUACUGGGCGUAAAGGGCUCGUAGGUGGUUUGUCGCGUCGUCUGUGAAAUUCUGGGGCUUAACUCCGGGCGUGCAGGCGAUACGGGCAUAACUUGAGUGCUGUAGGGGUAACUGGAAUUCCUGGUGUAGCGGUGAAAUGCGCAGAUAUCAGGAGGAACACCGAUGGCGAAGGCAGGUUACUGGGCAGUUACUGACGCUGAGGAGCGAAAGCAUGGGUAGCGAACAGGAUUAGAAACCCGUGUAGUCCCAUG
rnacentral:rRNA from 1 species